rnacentral:lncRNA from 10 species
CGGCUGAAGCGAGGCUGCUCUCCCAUGCAUCCCUGUGCCCAUCCUGUACCAGGCACCAUGCUACAAUCCAGCACUAGCAAGAGAAUCCGUGAGCGGAAUCUCCACCUGCCUGGGCGCACAGGCUCUUCUUCUGCACGUUCUGGGCCAUCCCCCUCAGAGGGCCCCAGGAAAUGGGCCCAGCCCCAUAAGCACCAGCCACAGUCAUCUCCCAUGCUGCCAGCUGCCCCCAGACGCACCCACACAGACACUGGUACAAAAGGCAGGAACCAGCCAGGCUCCAGGCUGGGGAACCUCCAGGUGCUCUGUGGCUCUGAAACGCCAUGGACAAGCCAUUCAUUGUCAUCCUGACGAGGAAGGCCUAACAGGAGGAGGAGAGCAACAUCUUCCUGGACAGAAACUCCGCCAUCUCUGACUCUUGCCUGGAUGUCUGCAGCUGUCUCCACACACCUGGCGCCACAUGACUCCCAGCCUCCUGUCCAGGGGCACCUUUUGUUCCUACCAGCUGGAGCUACAUGUUACUACUUCAGAGACAGGGGACAGGCCAUGUCUCCACUUGCAUGCCUUUGCUGGCUCUGUGACCUCUGCUCAGAACACCUCCAGAUCCAAGUCAAAGACUUCCUUCUUCUCCUAAUGGAGAUGAUUCUCUCCCUCCACAGAAAUUUAUAAGCACCUAGCCAAUACCAACUACGCUAGACACUGGGCUAAGUGCUUUAAGCAGCUUCUCAUUUAAUUUCACCAAAACCCCGUGAUAUAGGUACAUCAUUUUUUCCAUUUCAUAGAUAAGGAAAUUGAGCCUGGGAGAUGUUAAGUAAUUUGUCCAAGGCCAAAUGGCCAUGUAAUCUUUUCCCCACCCAACACUAUCAUUAGGAAGGCAGCGGAAAGACCAUGGGCUUACGAGUCAGACUAAUCUUGAUUCCAACUCCAGCUCAGUCAUUUAUCAGCUGUGUGGUGCUGGACAGGCUUACAUAACUGCUCUGUGCCUCAUUACACUCAUAUGUUCCACAGGGAAGCUAACAUUCACCUUGCAGUUCCACAAAAAUUACAAAUAAACAAUGCCUGGCACAAAGUAGUAGGAAAAACAAAUAGAAUAUAGUCAAUCAUUAGUGUUUACUCAGUGUUUCAUAUCAGCCUGGCACUGACCUAAGUACCUUACACGUAGUACCUCAUUUAAACCUCAAAACACUCGUGUGAUACAGGUAUUAUUAUUAUCCUCAUUUUACAGAGGAGGAGUCCAAGGCCCAGGGCCAGUCCACUUUCAGCUUCCUAUUCUGUCUUCUUCACUUCUUAAAUGCCCUCCUUGGGGACAUGUGAAAGCAGUUAAAUGUGACAGAGAUUUGAUUUCUCAUUUUCAGACUAUAAGUCUUUAUUUUUAUUUGUCUGCACCCUGGCCUGUAUUUUGUUUAGCACAAGAAAGGUGAAUUGGGUUAAUAUGUAUCUGUAAUAAUAACAUCACCAUCAUUAAUAAUGAUAGUAAAAGCCGCCAUGUAUUCCAUGCUUCCUGUAUACCAGGCAAUGUAUACAUAUAAUCUCUAACCUUUUAUGUGUUAAGUGCUCAGCAAGUCAGUUUUCUUCAAAAUCUCCCCAACCGACUUCUGCAUUCCCCUCGCUGGUCCUCUGAAUGACAUGGCACAUAGGAAAUGCCAUCCUUUGGCACUCAAUAAGUAGAGCAGGGCCUUCUAAAAUUGCUGACUGUGUGUACACAGCCCCUCUCCAGCUUGAUUCUUAGUUCCAAGAAGGUAGAACCCUGUCUUGAUUGUCUUUGCAGGCCUCAGAGCUCAGCAUAAUAAUGUACUUACAGAAGAACUACGUGACAUUUAGUGUUUGAUAGGAAUCCAAAUCUAAACUUAUCUGGAAGGAAGUAAAAGGAUACCUGUUGAGUACCCUCCAGCAGCCACAAGACGUCAAGAAUGUUUCCUUAUAUUAUCGCAUUUAUCCUCAAGAACCCAUCUGACUUUUAUUGAUGAGGAAACUGGGGCUCAGCAAAGUCAAGGCUCACAGUGGUGAAAGGAUUUCAACCAAGGUCUGUCAUAAAUCCCAGAGAUGUUGGGGAAUACCGUAGCUGAAUUCACACCUUGAGAAGUGUGAAAGUGAAGAGUGUUGGAGGCUGGAGAAAGUCAUGUUAUGCGUAUUACUGAGCCCUUCUAGAAUGCCAAUGUGUUCUAGAUGGUUUAUAAUGAUCCACCCUCCCCACUCCCCAUUCUCUCUGAAAUGUUAGUUACUUUGGUUAAAAGAUAUAACUAAUAUACAUGAAUGAGACUCUACUAGGAACAAUCGUGGCAGAGAGGUAUGACUUUGUAUACAUGGUAUUGAAACCUGUUUUUGUUUAUUAAAAGGAAAAAUAUUACACAUAAGAAAAAUGACUGGUUGUUCCAGAAUAAGAAAGGGAACAGGGAAGGUCAAAUCUGAA